rnacentral:rRNA from 1 species
CCUACGGGAGCAGCAGUGAGGAAUAUUGGACAAUGGGCGCAAGCCUGAUCCAGCCAUGCCGCGUGCAGGAAGAAGCAUCUAUGGUGUGUAAACUGCUUUUGUACGGGAAGAAACACCUCUACGUGUAGAGGCUUGACGGUACCGUAAGAAUAAGGAUCGGCUAACUCCGUGCCAGCAGCCGCGGUAAUACGGAGGAUCCAAGCGUUAUCCGGAAUCAUUGGGUUUAAAGGGUCCGUAGGCGGUUUGAUAAGUCAGUGGUGAAAGCCCAUCGCUCAACGAUGGAACGGCCAUUGAUACUGUCAGACUUGAAUUACUAGGAAGUAACUAGAAUAUGUAGUGUAGCGGUGAAAUGCUUAGAUAUUACAUGGAAUACCAAUUGCGAAGGCAGGUUACUACUAGUGGAUUGACGCUGAUGGACGAAAGCGUGGGGAGCGAACAGGAUUAGAUACCCUGGUAGUCCACGCCGUAAACGAUGGAUACUAGCUGUUGGGAGCAAUCUCAGUGCGUAGACGAAGUAGAGUAAGUAUACCACCGUCGGGAGGUACGUUACGUCGAGAAGUAGAAACGUUAAAGUUAAGUAAGUUAGUACGACGUGAGACGUACGACCGACGGACGACGACGAGGGGAGGAGG